AACGAACGCUGGCGGCAGGCUUAACACAUGCAAGUCGAGCGCACCGCAAGGGGAGCGGCAGACGGGUGAGUAACGCGUGGGAAUCUACCUAGCUCUACGGAAUAACCCAGGGAAACUUGGACUAAUACCGUAUACGCCCCUCGGGGGAAAGAUUUAUCGGAGUUGGAUGAGCCCGCGUUGGAUUAGCUAGUUGGUGGGGUAAUGGCCUACCAAGGCGACGAUCCAUAGCUGGUCUGAGAGGAUGAUCAGCCACACUGGGACUGAGACACGGCCCAGACUCCUACGGGAGGCAGCAGUGGGGAAUAUUGGACAAUGGGCGAAAGCCUGAUCCAGCAAUGCCGCGUGAGUGAUGAAGGCCUUAGGGUUGUAAAGCUCUUUUACCCGGGAUGAUAAUGACAGUACCGGGAGAAUAAGCCCCGGCUAACUCCGUGCCAGCCGCCGCGGUAAUAC
rnacentral:rRNA from 1 species